rnacentral:rRNA from 1 species
UACGAAGGGGGCUAGCGUUGCUCGGAAUUACUGGGCGUAAAGCGCACGUAGGCGGCUUUCUAAGUCGGGGGUGAAAUCCUGGAGCUCAACUCCAGAACUGCCUUCGAUACUGGAGAGCUUGAGUCCGGAAGAGGAGAGUGGAAUUCCUGGUGUAGCGGUGAAAUGCGCAGAUAUCAGGAAGAACACCAAUGGCGAAAGCAGCUCUCUGGGACGGUACUGACGCUGAGACGCGAAAGCGUGGGGAGCGAACAGG